UAGGAAUGAUAUUCAGGAAACCAAUAUUUUGAAGUGCUGCAUAAAUGUUUUUUUUCUUCUGUAGGAACAUUGAUUGACAAGCUUUUAAUGAUAUGAGGAAGUGAAAGCCUGCAUGGAAGGAAGGCAUUUUGGCGAAAACUGCAGAAUAUGAAAUGUGGGCAGAACCCAUUUUGAGAAUUCAGAUAUAGGCACAAUACAGCUGUGUGAAGAUGCACUUAACCAAGAAGAUAAAAAUGAGAAAAAAAUUAUGAAACACCCCUGUGCUGAUGGUAUCAAAACCAUCUUAUCAAAAGAAGAGCACUGCUAAAAAAGAACAUCAGCAACUGUGAUUAUUGCACUUUUGAAUUCAUCACUUGGAGCCGAAGUUCAAAACACCUGGAGGAGCCUAGAAGCACAAAACAGAAAGCUCCCUCCUAACAUGGAAAUCUGCUCAACACGAAAGAGUGUGCCGGGUAUGUUUGGUGGCUACAGGUGAACUCUGGGCCUGCUUACAGGCCACCACACACACACUCAGAGAGUGUGGAGGGUGUGCAUGGUGACUGGCGGGGCUUGCAGGCCUCACCACACACACGCUCUCCAAGAGUGUGGCAGGGCAUGUGUGGUGGCUGGCAAGGUGUGCAGGAAGGCCUCGAGUACGCCUGUAGCUGAACACCUUACUCCAGAGGAGCAACAGCAGGUGCCAGCAGGAUAUUGACACAUGACAAGAUGUAGCUGAUACAGUUCUUUCUUCAUAUGAAAAAAACUGACAAGAAAAAAAAAUCCCUCUGCUUUGAAUGCAGUUUCCAAAACAAAUGAUUCUUAAACAGUCAAGAAUCUGUUGUGGGUUUGCCCAUCUCACAUAUUGUCUCUAACAGUGAGCAUUUUUUUUGUCUCAUCCAUAAACUUUAAAUAGAAAUUAGAUGUGUAUGGGGGGGGGGGGAGGGGGUUGAGAGAGAAAAGAUUCAUUUGGAAAGAUGGCUAAACUCAAAAAGUACCAGGGAUAAAAAAAUCACUUUCAGAUGAGCUCGUAGUCCAAGAAAGAAAUGUGCAACCUACCCUGUUCC
rnacentral:lncRNA from 11 species